rnacentral:rRNA from 1 species
GCUUUACACAUGCAAGUCGAACGGCAGCACGGGGGCAACCCUGGUGGCGAGUGGCGAACGGGUGAGUAAUGCAUCGGAACGUGUCCUGUAAUGGGGGAUAACCUAUCGAAAGGUAGGCUAAUACCGCAUACGUCCUGAGGGAGAAAGCGGGGGCUCGCAAGACCUCGUGUUAUAGGAGCGGCCGAUGUCGGAUUAGCUASUUGGUGGGGUAAAGGCCUACCAAGGCGACGAUCCGUAGCUGGUCUGAGAGGAUGAUCAGCCACACUGGGACUGAGACACGGCCCAGACUCCUACGGGAGGCAGCAGUGGGGAAUUUUGGACAAUGGGCGCAAGCCUGAUCCAGCAAUGCCGCGUGCGGGAAGAAGGCCUUCGGGUUGUAAACCGCUUUUGUCAGGGAAGAAAUCUCCUGGGCUAAUACCUCGGGGGGAUGACGGUACCUGAAGAAUAAGCACCGGCUAACUACGUGCCAGCAGCCGCGGUAAUACGUAGGGUGCAAGCGUUAAUCGGAAUUA